GACGUAGGAGGCGAGCGUUGUCCGGAUUCAUUGGGCGUAAAGAGCACGCAGGCGGUUUGGCAAGUCGGAUGUGAAAACCCGGAGCUCAACUCCGGACCUGCAUCCGAAACUGCCCGACUAGAGGUAGGUAGGGGAGAUCGGAAUUCCUGGUGUAGCGGUGAAAUGCGCAGAUAUCAGGAGGAACACCGGUGGCGAAGGCGGAUCUCUGGGCCUUACCUGACGCUCAGGUGCGAAAGCUAGGGGAGCGAACGGG
rnacentral:rRNA from 1 species